UGGACCUCAACUCAGGCAAGACUACCUGCUGAACUUAAGCAUAUCAGUAAGCAGAGGAAAAGAAAACAACUGUGAUUCCCUUAGUAACUGCGAGUGAAGCGGGAAAAGCCCAUCGUUUAAUCUCCUCGUCCGCAGCGGCGGGGCGAAAUGUAACGGUAUGGAUAGGUUCUCUACCAACAAGGUCUGAUCAAAGUCCUCCGGAUUGAGGUGCCAAAGAGGGUGACAGCCCCGUGUGUGAUUGGACUGAGUUGGGCAUGUGGCCGAUUCCGAGAGUCGGGUUGUUUGGGACUGCAACCUAAAGCAGGUGGUAAACUCCACCCAAGGCUAAAUAUUGACACGAAACCGAUAGCGAACAAGUACUGUGAAGGAAAGUUGAAAAGAACUCUGAAAAGAGAGUUAAAAGUACGUGAAACCGCUAACGGGGAAGCGGAAGGCAGUGUCGAGAUCGAGUGAGUGAGUCUGCUCAAGAGUGAUUUUGGGUGGGCUAGCUUUGCUUGAUGCGUCAGGGCCGUUGGUGUGCGAUGGUUCAAUUGUGGGCAUGGCUUUCACAGCAAAUUCUUGUUUGUGGAUGCGGCUGGCAAUCCGCCUCGUGUGCUGACGUGCGAGUGAGGAGCGUUGGUGAUGUAUUGUCGGUUGGUGCGGUGUGGUGGUUCGCACUGGUCACAGUGUGGCUACGUGCGGACAAGUCAUGUGGUAGUUCAACAACCAAUGCUAGUUCCUGGCGUGAUACCCAACCUUCCGACCCGUCUUGAAACACGGACCAAGGAGGCAGAAUCUAGAGCGAGUUGGAGGGUGGAAAACCCGACGGCGUAGUGAAAGCGAGAGAUGAGACCCAGCGGCCUCGGCUGUUGGAGCAUCAUCGGCCAGUCAGUUGUGAUUGAGUUUGAGCUGUAGAUGCUGGACCCGAAAGAUGGUGAACUAUGCGUGAGCAGGGCGAAGCCAGAGGAAACUCUGGUGGAGGCUCGAAGCGAUUCUGACGUGCAAAUCGAUCGUUAGACUUGCGUAUAGGGGCGAUAGACUAAUCGAACCAUCUAGUAGCUGGUUCCCUUCGAAAUAUCCCUCAGGAUCGCUGAGACAAGUGGGAGACAGUUUCAUCGGGUAGAGCGAAUGAUUAGAGGAAUCGGGGAUAUAUUACUCUCGACCUAUUCUCAAACUUCCAACCGGUGAGAGUGCUGUUUGCUUGUGUGAAAUAGUACGUGGAAUGUUUUUGUCUCAAGUGGGCCAUUUUUGGUAAGCAGAACUGGCGAUGCGGGAUGAACCGAGAGUUGAGCUAAGGUGCCUAAGGACACGUUGAUAGAUACCACAAAAGGAGUCGGUCGAUAAAGACAGCAGGGCGGUGGCCCUGAAAGUAGGAAUCCGCUAAGGAAUUGUCUAAAAACUCACCUGCCGAAUCGRCCGGCCCUGAAAAUGGAUGGCGCUGAAGCGUGUCACCGAUGCUCGACCUCUACAACGAGAGAUGAUUGUAGGGGGUAGAAGGGCGCGGCGGUGGCGACAAAGUACAAAGUGCAAACUUGUAUGGAGCCGCCGUCGGUGUAGAUCUUGGUGGUAGUAGCAAUUAUAAAAGUGAAAACCUUUUAGGCCGAAGUGGAGAAGGGUUCCACGUGAACAGCAGUUGGACGUGGGUUAGUCGGUCCUAAGCGGUAGCCUAACGGUAAUUCCAAAGCCAACUUGUCGUCAGUUUCGAUUGACCGAGUUGGAAUCCGCGAAAGGGAAUCAGGUUAAUAUUCCUGAACCGGGCUAUGGAGACGCUGCCUUUUGUGUUGUGUGGGGGUUCGCUCUCGGGCAGCGCUGGGGCAGCUUAGCGGUAACGCAAGCAAUCUCGGAGACGUUGACAUCUAUGGCGGGGAGAAUUAUCUUUUCUGCAUAACAGGUAAACCACCUUGGAAUCGAGUCGUUCGGAGAUAAGGUAGAAAGCCUGGAAGAGCACCGCAACUUUUGCAGUGUCCGCAGUGUAGGUGUCGGCCCUUGAAAAUCCGAGGGAGUGGAUAAAUUUCAUGCCCGUCCGUACCGAAUCCGCAUCAGGUCUCCUAGGUGAGCAGCCUCUGGCACUGGAACAAUGUAGGUAAGGGAAGUCGGCAAAAUAGAUCCGUAACUUUGGGAAAAGGAUUGGCUCUAAGGGCCGGGCCAAUCGAGCUAGUAUUACCUAGGCUCGUGGGGGUUUGACUGGGUGGCCCAUCAAGCCGACGCUGUUGUGUUUGGGGGUUUGCUUGGUCGAGUCAACGCUGGCCAUGGAAUGCCGGCGUGAGUUUCCAGCAAGCCGAGUUGCCGCAAGGUGGCUCGGUCGAUGGGGCUCUUUACGAGUGGCAAGCAUCGGUCGACUUAGAACUGUUACCAACUUGGGGAAUCCGACUGUUUAAUUAAAACAAAGCAUUGCGAUGGCCCUAAUGGGUGUUGACGCAAUGUGAUUUCUGCCCAGUGCUCUGAAUGUCAAAGUGCGGAAACGCAACCAAGCACGGGUAAACGGCGGGAGUAACUAUGACUCUUUAAAGGUAGCCAAAUGCCUCGUCAUCUAAUUAGUGACGCGCAUGAAUGGAUCAACGAGAUUCCCACUGUCCCUACCUACCAUCCAGCGAAACCACAGUCAAGGGAACGGGCUUGACUGAGACAGCGGGGAAAGAAGACCCUGUUGAGCUUGACUCUAGUUUGAUUUUGUGAGAAGACAUGAGGGGUGUAGAAUAGGUGGGAGGUCUCGCAAGGGGCCGUCGGUGAAAUACCACUACCUUCAUCGUUUUCACACUAAGUCGGUUACACGGGGAAUACUUGUCCUCACAAAGGGGGCAGGUGGAUUCGUGGCUAUAAGACAGACCGAUCUGUUGACCCAUCGCCGAUGACAGAAUCAGAUG
rnacentral:rRNA from 1 species